UACAGAGGUCCCGAGCGUUGUUCGGAUUCAUUGGGCGUAAAGGGUGCGUAGGCGGCUGGGUAAGUUUGAUGUGAAAUCCUGGGGCUCAACCCUGGAACUGCAUUGAAUACUGCUCGGCUAGAGUACUGGAGAGGAAACUGGAAUUCACGGUGUAGCAGUGAAAUGCGUAGAUAUCGUGAGGAAGACCAGUGGCGAAGGCGAGUUUCUGGACAGUUACUGACGCUGAGGCACGAAGGCCAGGGGAGCAAACGGG
rnacentral:rRNA from 1 species